rnacentral:rRNA from 1 species
CGCCUCUUGCUAACAAAGGAAGUACUAGAGGUCCCGCCUGCCCUGUGACCACAAAGUUUAACGGCCGCGGUAUCCUGACCGUGCGAAGGUAGCGUAAUCAUUUGUCUUUUAAAUAGAGACCUGUAUGAAUGGCAUAACGAGGGUUUAACUGUCUCCUUCCCCUAGUCAAUGAAAUUGAUCUGCCCGUGCAGAAGCGGACAUAAAUACAUAAGACGAGAAGACCCUAUGGAGCUUUAGACAAAAGAUCAAACAUGUAAAGAAACCAAGUUAACCAAAAGGAACACAAAGGCCACGAAACCCGACGUAAACUGAUCCAAAUGUCUUCGGUUGGGGCGACCAUGGGGGAGAAAAAAGCCCCCACGAGGAACAGGGACUAAUCCCUAAGCCAAGAGAGACAUCUCUAAGCAACAGAAAAUCUGACCAAAAGUGACCCAGAAUACUAAUUUUGAUCAACGAACCAAGUUACCCUAGGGAUAACAGCGCAAUCCUUUCCCAGAGUCCAUAUCGA